UUCCCCAUUCCACACGUUUGCAGGUUAAUUUUGAAUUCCAGUUAAAAUUUCAUCCAUAUCUAUUUGAUAUUCUAGGACUCUCUUUCCAUCUACCAAAUUUUCUCCUUCAGCUUAUUCAUCGUGACUAUCUUUCCAUCUAACUAGAUUUUCUCAUUCAUUCAAUUCAUCGUGUGAGUUUACAAAUAUCAUGGAAGAGUGUGGUAAUUUCAAAUGUGUGUAUGAUUCUGAUGAUGAGCUGUGGGCUGAGAAUAGAUCUAAGCGAUUGCAUGACCCAUUGUUGAUGAAGAACAACAAUGAUGAGCCAAAGAAGAAGACUGAAGAAAUCAAGAAAAAAAGGCCAAGAAAAGUUACAUCAACUGUGUAACUUAUUAUACGUAGCUGGGACAGGAUGAACAAGUUUAUAUGUUGUUUUGUGUUGAAGACAAUUAUCUUUUGUGUUUUUCUAAAAGCUUAUUGGUAUUACAAUAUUUUAUUAGUUAUGAAUGUUAUAUUUUUUCAAGUUAUUUUUUUA